GAAUGUUUUGGUACUCAGUGUUUGUCCUUAUCAAGAUUUAUUGGUGUUAUGCGUGUAAAGUGGUAGGUGAGGGCAUGUAUCAUUUUCUUCUACAUUGCGAGCUAUCCAUUAGGUUAUGUUGGGACAUGUUUAGUAGAGAAAAGGUAUUUCUCUAUAUAUAGGAUUUAGAUCAAAAUUGUAUGUUAACUCACUUGUAUGAUUGACUUUAUUUUUGUUUUGUUUUAAUCAUCAGUGCUAGAAAAUAUGCAACUGCUAUAUAUUGAGUGACA
rnacentral:misc_RNA from 1 species